rnacentral:tmRNA from 1 species
GGGGGCGUCCCGGUUUCGACGUGUUUGGUGAACGUGGAGCAGCGUGCCGAGGUUCUUGGUCCUCGUUAAACCCUGGGAAAACUUUUAAUUGCCAACACUGAUAUGGCGAUGGCCGCUUAAGGUUCUUCCUUAGUAGCCCGUCUCCUGGAUCGCCCGCCUGAGGCGGUCCUCCGAGACGUCGAUAAUUCGGGCUGGUUCCCUGGUCAUGCCACCGGGUUAGGGAACGAGAUUUAAGGUGGCUGGCUGCGGACCCGGUUGACCACUGACCGACCGCGGCGAGAUCGAUAGUGGUCUACGCACGUAGCGGCUCUGCUGGAUUCAAAGGCGGACGCGGGUUCGACUCCCGCCGCCUCCACUG